UCUGGGGUUUGGAAUCACUUGUACAAUGCUCCAAAACAUUUAGCCAAAGUAUUAAAAAAAACCCCAAACCAACAUUCCCCUUAAUGUAGAGAAGUGAGGAGAAGGAACAUCUUGGACAGCAUUAACCAGAAAGUCUCUUCACAUAAAGCAAGAUGGAGCCUCAGCUCCAGGAAAUUCCUCUGUAGCCUGGUGAACCCAAUGGUGUCUCUACAUGCUCAUGAUGAACCACGUCUGUUAGCAUGAUGGCUCUUGGACAUGCAACCUUGGGGAAAUAAAAGGCCUUUUUGCUAUGAUCUGCACCUGAAUGGCAAGCCACCUACAAACUACUUUUGGAGGGGUAAUUAUUGGUUCAUGGAAAUUCUCCUGUGGAAACUGGGACUCUUAAGGUGCUUUUAUUAGAGACUGCAAUAGGACCCCUCCUCUGUGCCCAAAUUCCCCUGGUUCUCCCAUCUUCCUAUGUUUAAAUGGGAUGAUGGGAUGAGCAGCAGGGAUUGUGUUACACGUGCCAUCAAGCUUCUCGAGGGGACUAUCCAAAGCAGGGAUGAUGACCUGACGUCAUUAAGGAGCUAUGGGAUUUACUGUGAAAAAACAACUGAGUCUGUAAAACUGGAUUUGGAGCAGAAGAUCGUAAGUUUCAUGAUCACAGAAGGCUGGAACUACUCACUCCUUCCAAUGGUGAGAGAGUGUCCUGGUGUCUGGUUCCAACCUCUUUCUGUCCCUCUUCAAACUUGAAGAGAUGGACAACGUAGGAAACUGUGUUGACAAUGGUGCAAAGUGUGAUCAGAAGCUACAGCACCUGUUAUUUUCAUAGAUUAAUGGAAUUAAAGUGGAAGAGAUUGUACUGAUGGUCUCUGCCUGGGAUUAUGGGCAGGUUCGUUGACCUGGCUGAGAGCAGAGCUUUUCCUUUACAUGCUGUGCAUUCAUUUUAAGAUACUUUCCUGGAGAGCCUACAGUCUGAAAAUAUUAAUCUUGCAAAACUGAACACAUGGGCUUAAACCUAAGUGCGGCAUUACAAAUCUUAUUUAUGGAUUAAAAGGGGCUCGAGGCGCUGCAGUAUUCCCAACAAAAGGCCUUUUCUCUCCUGGAGUUUACGCAGCUGAUGAAGAUCACAGGUUUGGCAUUUUACAAAUCCUUGUAAAAAAACCACAUCACUUCCCAAGGCAGUGGGAGCAGCCUGGGAAAAGAGGUUCAGUGGAAGCUAGGAGAUGCAGUAGGAAGCGGUGUCAGAUCCUUCAGUCUGCAGCAAUGGACCUUACUGGUGAUGAAGGGAUCCAGAGACUGCGGUCCAGUCUCUCGUGGGGAUUGCAGGCAGAGACGGCUGCUGAUCCUGUACUUCUAGGGAUGCAUCCUGAUGAAGUCCUUUAUCAAAUGUGUAGGCAAGAAACCAAGAGAUAAGUAUCAAACUAAUUGAUUGCCGUAUCACUUCUCCUCCUCCCUUGUCUCCUCAAUUUGCACAGUUGAUCUAUGCCUAAUGCUCAGGAGGUACCUGUGUUACUGUCUUGUGGGAGAAGCAGAAAUGUCGCCUUGUCUUCUCAAAACUCCUUUCACCCUGAAGAGCUCUACCAGCAGUAUACAAAAAUCACUUCAUCCUCUCUAAAAUGAAGUCAGUUGAGCAAUUACUUUGUGACUCUCUAAAAGGCAGGAGCUGUUUUAGGAGAGCAAACAGUUUACGACUGAAAAGGAGAAAGAACAGAGUGUCCAUCUGCAGCUGUGUAUGAUAAAUAAACUGCAAGUGACAGAAACUGGGACUCAGUAGGGGAAGGAGCUGAUUCAAUCUUUUGGAAAAUAAGAACACUUCUCUGAGGAAAUUGCUAACUUUAUGCAUUUACAUCUUACCUGAAAAACAUCAUUUAUGAACACUAAGUCAAGGGUCUGUUGCACUAACUGAAAUGUAAGAUUGUUGUUCCUUAUCUUUCCCAGAAGCUUAGUGCAUGAACUGUUGUAUUCCAGAGUGAGUUCUACCUGGAGGGUGCAAGAGCUGAGUCAGCCUUUCCCUGCUCAUUUCUUGUUUUUUUUUAAAACCAAGAAAACCUCAACACUCCUGGUUAUUUGUCACAUAAGUCCUGAUUCGAGAGAUUGUGCAUGAGACAGAAUUUCCUGCAGAAGUCAAACAAAAGGUCAGGCUGCAACGUAAGUGAGAAAAGACUGUGCUGGUAUUGCCAGAACUGUUUGCAUUUGCGCAUUCACCUACCAUCUCACUGAAUUUAUCAAGUUCAGCAUUCCACUCUUAGGAAUUUCUACAUGACUGUGGAAUAAUAAAACACCUCUUUCUUGGUAAAAGAUGCUCUGAAGACAUGUGCUAGGGGAUACUGCUGGUGCAAUGGCAGGAGUAAGUGCUUCUCCAUGAUCAGAUCUUCUCUGUGCAACAGAGCUGUGGGACUCCUUGGCAAAAGAUGUUGCAGUGUUUUCAGAAGCAGCGAUGACUUGAAAGACAACAGAGAAGACCCCAAGAAUGCUCCCUGGCUGCCCCUGAGAAGCUUCAGAGUUACAUCCAUCAUGCACAUGAGAGAUGCUCCAAUCCCUUAAUCAUCUUUGUGGCCCUUCACUGGACAGCAGUUUGGACCCCUCCACACUGGACUUGGUUCUUUCUACUGCACAAAGUCUUUCAGCAUUACCUCAACAGGUCUCGUACCCCCCAUUUCCCAUGCUACCACUUUUUCCGUGCCCCGUGUCACACAUGCUUAAAUCAUGGUAUGAAAAACACGUUUGGUGUGCCAUGAUGUUUCAGGCACCUUGAAUUGAUAAAUCACAUAUACAAUAGUAAUCAUCCCAAGGGUGCCUAUAGAGGACCCAUGAAUAUAUGGGGCUCAUAAUAGGUGAUAAAAAUAAGUUUAAGUUUCUCCAGAAGCUGUCAGUGCUGUGCAGUCUGGAUACGAGCCGCUCUACGGUACUAUGCCUGGCUGCUCAGGGUAGGUCCCUGAGACAGAUGCCUUUAGCGAUGUAGACAUAGCUUGAAUGGAAAAAGUAGUCCUUGGGGAUGUUCAGUCAGAGCACGACCUUUCAGCAGAUGGCACAUUUUUUAUAGCCGAGCUCUAGGUCACACAGGAGUAGAAAAACUCAGCUAUUCCUUGUGCUGAGAACUGCUAAAGCUCCAUCAUCAGGGAGCCCCUCCGUGGCAGCAUAAGUGAAGGUCAGAUUUCCAUAUUGUGUCAGCUCUGGGACAAGGUCAUAGUUAUCAUAGUUAUGUACCUGUGCCACUGAAUUUUCCAUGGCAAAGCAGCAAUAUUUGGAGGUCCUACAUAAAUGCAGGCAAUAGAAAGUUGAAAGAAAUUUGCAGAAGCUAAAGUGUAUAUUAAAAUGUAAAUAGCAAGAGAGAACAGUUUGUGUAAGAUUAGGGUGAAAAAUAUAUAUGAUGAUUAUAAAACCUGAUGUAAUGAAACAUGACAGGGUGGGGCCCUAGGGCUGAAGUAAACUAAAUUCCACUCCUUAAACUACAUUAUGCAAGAGUGAAGAUAUAGAAAAUGGGAAAAGUAACGCAGUAAUAAAAAUGUUUUGGAAAGUGAGACAGGAUGAACCAACAGUCUUUUACCCGACAUGAAUCUCCUGCCAAUACCUUUGAAUAUGAGUUUUAUCCUGGCCUUGUUUAUGUCAAGCUUAUUUAAGUUUUGAAAGGAUUCAUGGUUUCUUUUUUUUUCUUUUAACUGAGUAGAAUAUGUAAAUAUCCCCAACAAAGAAGAAAUGAUCAUUAGCUAAAGCACAUAUGGAGAAUUCAUAUUACAAUGUGAUCUGAGUGCUUGUGUUCCCCUCAAGCACCUUUGCAAUCCACCCAUGGAUAAGCGUGCACCCUCAUGCACCAGUCAUGCAGACAUGUUCCUGCUUAGAUGUUUCACGGGUAGACACAGCAGCAACCUGACAGCAAGGAAAGAAAUGUAGAAGUCCUCCCUCACGUGGGACAAGAACACGUGCCCUACUGACCAGGGCUUACCACCAACACCAACAGGGGUCCAGUCCUUCCCCCUCACCACUCCUUCUGCUUUGCUCUAUAAACUUACGCUUUUGUGAUCACAGAUGUGUUGCGUUUAUGACGGAUCUGCUUAUAAGUAUGGCUGUGUUUGUUAUACAGCCAAAAUUUGCUGCCAUGGAAAAGGACUUAAAAGCUGGUCUGGCCUACAGCCCAGUAAUGAGCUGCAUCAAUCAGAUUCAAUAACACUCUGGAAUCGAAUACAGGGAUCUCAGUGUGCAGGGCCAGCACUUGUGUGUUUAUACGCCCAUGAAAGAGGUAAAGUCCUUUCCAUUUUAUUGUCUGGGAAACUGAGUCAAAAGACAUCAGCAGCCUGGUUCUGUUGCCAUGGAAGUCAAUAGCAAAAAUCCCUUUUACAGUCACAGGAAAUGAAAGGUUGAGUGAGAAUUUAUACAUUUCAGUAGAAAUGCCAAAUCUGUUGGCUCCCAAGCUUUUCAGUUAAGCCCACGUUUUGUUUCAUUCCCUGUUAGGCACCAAUGGUGUAUCAUGAUCAGUACUUUCUGUUGCACAUCUGUGAUGCUUCAGAAGGAAGUGACUCUUUUAUUUGUAAUGAACUGAUACAGAUUUGCAGUCCUGCAUACUGAAGGAGAGGAGGUAGAAGUGGUUUUCUUUAGUAAACAGUUUACCCUGGAGGAAGAAUUUGGGUUACCUCGGUAUAUGCGGGCAUUAUUUGAUGUCUAUUACUGACGGUAGAAGUAUUAAAUUUCUAAAAUCCAGUAUGGUGUACUGGAUAUGUGUUCAGUUACUAAUAUUUAGCACAAGAGGUCAGACAGCACUCUGUGGAAAAAAGGUGCCUUCCUUGGAUUAGCCAUACUGUUCUUUAAUGUCUUGAAAUCAGAUAUCAUUCAUAAAUUACAGGCAAAAUUAAGCGAGUGAGGAGUCAUCACUCUGCAGUACCUGUUUUCAUCAACAAGUUGCCUUCUGUAUAUAAACGAACACUGCUGUGUCAGAGCAGAUUAAACCCUUUGCUCUUUUUCCUCUUUGUUCUGAGUACGGUGUCAGUACCACGCAUCCAGCUGUUUGAACAAAGAGGAUUAACCUUCUCCUGGGGCCAGUUAUACAGCCCAGCUGUCUGCCGUCAUUGCGGAGCUGCCAAGGAGCCCAGCCAGGGACACAUGUGGCAGGAGCACCUGUGUCUCAGUGCAAGCAGCUGAGAAGGUGCAAACAGGAAUAUUAAACUCCCGGCAAGGCAGAGGGCAACAGUCCCAGCAACCGCUACUUCCUGGCAUGGGAAAGCAAGCUACUGCUGGUUACACGAGAAAGAAGAAGAAGACAGAGACACAGGUCAGUCUUGCCUCUUCAUAUGUACUGCUUCCAGCUGAGUGCGGUUCACAGCGAGUAGGAAAGCUCACUCCUCAUACAGGUAAUUUCCAUACAGCUUUGUAGGGCUUGAACAAGCCUAGGUCCAUGUGUCUGCUGCUUCUGCUACAAGGAUUGCCCUUUGUGGAGAUAAACCGGACAGGGCUGAGGUGCAAAUGGUGACAGAAGUGUGACGCACAACUGCUUUUGGCAGGGAGUUUCCUGAGGUUCUGCCUGGCCUUGUGAACAGAAUAACUCGGCUCCCUUUCAUCUCUCCUUCCCGGAGCACUGUUGAAAACACCCCACGUGAAACAGCGUGGCUUCCAAGGCAGCCGGCUGGAAAAACUGGACGGCAAUCCGAAAUAAGAGCCAGCUGCAGGUGACGCAUGCAGAGAUAAGGUCCUCUUGUCUAGUCCGGCUGAUCUGGCAGUGCCCGUGCAAAGUGUGGAAAUGUGCCCCUGCUUGAACUGCCUCUAUCUGUGUGUUUUGUGAUCCGGAAUGCAGAGAUCUGGCAUUAGUAACCACAGAAUUGUACCCUCAGUUUACUUCUGGGUAAAACCAGAGGACAUAGAUGAGUAAAAGUAUACUCAUGUUACUAGACAAAAUGAUUAGGUUAAUGAAAUGCAAACACAAGUUUUAUGGUUUUGAAUGCCUAAAAAAUGCCUAGUUAAAUGUAUCUAUAGUAAACACUAUGCCCUUUCCAGGUACUUGCCAAGAGCAGAGAUUUGUACUAAACAUCAAAGGCAAAAUUAAUCAGGGGUAACCUGCAGGCCUGAGAGAGCAAGUAAUGGACAUAGUCUGCAGUUUUUCGGCUCGUGAACCAGACAAGGACAUCCAUUUGAGGACACUAAUAAGUUUUGGCAUGUCAGCCACAGAUCAGCGAUCAAAGCCAUGCUGAUUCGUAUUGGCUCGCACAUCACUAUUAAUCUACCUUACUAUUUAUUUAUUGGAUUAUAAAAUAACUUAGACGCUUAAAUCCCUUGUAUUCCCACAGCUUGAAAAACUGUUCAGUUCUGGUCCUUUCAUCUGGAAAUGAUAUUUAGCAAAGCCAGGAAAUGUUCAAAGAGGGACAACAGGAAUGACUGAAGGGAUGGCAUGGCUGUGCUAAUAGAAAACACUAACAUUUGAGCCUGGAAAUAGUGAGCACAAGCCUCCAGACCAACCCCUCAUCAUAUUUGACAACACGUACCCAUGUCUUAGUUCUACUGAAAGCCUUAGCGCUUGGCUCAGCUUCCCUCAUUUUAAAUGUAUAAAGAAACUUCCAACGAAGUUCAAAUGCGCGGCCUGAAAUGCCUUGUCAUGAGGAACUGAACAGAAAAACCCAGGCAAAAGCUCCUGUACGUGGGAGGUAGAUAUGAAAGUAAUUCUCUGCUGGUUUCAGCCAAGGGAGAGCUGGGUACCUGCCACUUUGCAAACCCACAGAUUUCUGAGAUUAUCCUCUGAUGAGCAGACGUUUUCUUUAAAUAGCAUGCUGCAAAUUAACAGUUCUCAGAAAACUUCUUUGACAAAGUCCCUGAUAAAGUUUCUUUCUUAACCCUUAAGCUGCUGUCUCAGAGCAAUUAAUGGAGUGAUAGAAAAGGAAGGGGAUGAUACAAUGAUUUCCCCUGUGGUUGAUAUCCUCGUGUGGCAAUAUAAGACUGGGAGAUAGUGUGCUUGCGAAGUGGGAGACAGUGGAUAAAUUUUGAGCUCAGAGGCAUCUGGUUAUAGCUAUUUUCUCUGUUCCAAGGCAAUUUUCAAGAUAGUUUACAUUUUUUUGCUGUCCUGAAUUAUGAUAAAUACAACAUAUGUCUGUGAAAUAAAAAAUCAGGACAAACUCUUGGGGUUUUUUCCCUCCUUCUCACAAUGAAUUAAUUUAAAUGUUAAAAAAAAAAAAAGGAAUAUUCUGUUAUGUAAUUCACAAAAAUCUCACAUAAUUUGACAAGCUUGUUUUCACUACUUGUUUUAAAAUUUUAAAUUCUUUAGCAUGGACCUUCUCUGGCAAACAAGAAUUGGUAUUUCUCUAUGAAAAACGUUUCAUUGAAAACUGUCUGACUGAUAUGCUACAAUGCAGGAGGGGCUAAAACUGCAUUUUUUGAACAGAAGCAAUUCAUACACUUGCAAACGAAAGCACAGUAGUUGCUUCCACAGUAAGAGGCAAGACCUCUACAAGUAAAUCAAUGUAAUUCCAUGUCUUUCAACAAAGCAGUGUGAAUAAUGUUAGCAGCAAAUCUCUUCCCUGGUUUCUAAAGCAGAAUUUCCUGUCACAAACAGGUUGGAGCCUGACUCUGUUAGCAUAUCUUCCGUGUCUCCUUAUACUUUUUCUGCAUCAGCCAUUGCGAUACGUAUUUGUCCUGAACUGUAAUAAUCAUAGACUUAAUCACAACAUGAGUGCUGCUGAUUCUUCUCAAUAUGUGUUGCAUAAUAAUAUCAAUCAUUUUCUUUAGUGAAAAUGCCAUUUAGUCUUUACAAAAAAAACUUCAUGGGCACUUACCCUGUCUGAGGAAGAUCCAGUGCACCAUCUUUUGUAGUGUUGCCACAAUGUUUUUCAUUUACAACUAAAUACAAACUAGGUUAAACUUUGUUCUUUUAUUCCUUUUACUUCCUCCCAUUUUGUUUGUUUGCUCACUUGCAUGACUGGGCGAGAGCACCUUUGUUUUUUAAUUUUUCCUCUGCGAUCAUCUCAUGGACCACUUUCCAAUGUCCAUGUCUCUCAGACUGCCACCAGUCCACAACCUACAAGACAAGAGUCACUAAUGUAUAGCACUGCAGUGCUACUAUUCUUAGCCCCCAUGGACUAUAUUUUCUGUAUUCUCUCUUUCAUCAGGUUCUUCUUCAUCGAAGUAAAUCACCUAAGUCCAAGGUCUUUUGCCAGUACUGUUCCACUGAGUUUUGGUGGAUUUUGCUGGCAUAGAUGGGAGCAGAACACUGUCUCUAAUUGAAAGAGAUAUGCAAGUCUAUCUGUUCUCAUAGAAAGGCAAAUAGAUGAAGAGCUGCCAUCAAAUAAUGUGUACUGUCCAAAG